UACGUAGGGUGCAAGCGUUGUCCGGAAUUAUUGGGCGUAAAGAGCUCGUAGGCGGUUUGUCGCGUCUGCUGUGAAACCCGCGGCUCAACCGCGGGCCUGCAGCCGAUACGGGCAGGCUAGAGUUCGGUAGGGGAGACUGGAAUUCCUGGUGUAGCGGUGAAAUGCGCAGAUAUCAGGAGGAACACCGAUGGCGAAGGCAGGUCUCUGGGCCGAUACUGACGCUGAGGAGCGAAAGCGUGGGGAGCGAACAGG
rnacentral:rRNA from 1 species